rnacentral:rRNA from 1 species
AUUGAACGCUGGCGGCAGGCUUAACACAUGCAAGUCGAGCGAGCGGCGGACGGGUGAGUAAUGUCUGUGAAACUGCCUGAUGGAGGGGGAUAACUACUGGAAACGGUAGCUAAUACCGCAUACCAUCAGAUGUGCCCAGAUGGGAUUAGCUAGUGGGUGGGGUAAUGGCUCACCUAGGCGACGAUCCCUAGCUGGGCUGAGAGGAUGACAAGGCACACUGGAACUGAGACACGGUCCAGACGCCUACGGGAGGCAGCAGUGGGGAAUGUUGCACAGUGGGCGCAAGCCUGAUGCGGCCCUGCCGCGUGGGUGAAGAAGGCCUGCGGGUUGUAAAGCACUUUCAGCGAGGAGGCUUUACUCGCAGAAGAAGCACCGGCUAACUCCGUGCCAGCAGCCGCGGUAAUUC